UACGUAGGGUGCGAGCGUUAAUCGGAAUUACUGGGCGUAAAGCGUGCGCAGGCGGUUUUGUAAGUCAGAUGUGAAAUUCCCGGGCUUAACCUGGGAACUGCGUUUGAAACUACAAGGCUAGAGUGUGGCAGAGGGGGGUGGAAUUCCACGUGUAGCAGUGAAAUGCGUAGAGAUGUGGAGGAACACCGAUGGCGAAGGCAGCCCCCUGGGUUAACACUGACGCUCAGGCACGAAAGCGUGGGGAGCAAACAGG
rnacentral:rRNA from 1 species